AUCACCUCUGCCACACUCUCAUGAGCUUGAGAAAGUGAGCUUCUAAAGCAGCUGACCACAAAACAGCCUCACCAAACCCCAGGCAGGCCAGGCAGUCUGAACACUACAAGGCCACGUGAUGGUCACAGAGGAUGACAGCUCCCGCUUCUGCAUUGGCCAGUCCCCACUGCUUUCUGGUGAGAUGUCCGAGUUGAAGUGAAUGUUGAAGGCCACACAGCUGAUGGAGCUCACUGCCUUGCACAUGUUGUAAAUCACCUCCUGGCUUCAAGGGUCAGCUGUGGAGACACAGCUUGAUGGGAGGGACUGGGUCACGAGACACCCCUGGCAAGGACCAGCUGGCAGAACAGGCUGGACACUCUCCCUCAGCCUCCCCAGCAGCCCCACCUGUGCUGUCAUCUGUGCUGAUGAUC
rnacentral:lncRNA from 1 species